AUUGAACGCUGGCGGCAGGCCUAACACAUGCAAGUCGAACGAGUGGCGGACGGGUGAGCAAUGUCUGGGAAACUGCGUGAUGGAGGGGGAUAAGUACUGGAAACGGUAGCUAAUACCGCAUACCAUCAGAUGUGCCCAGAUGGGAUUAGCUAGUUGGUGGGGUAAUGGCUGACCAAGGCGACGAUCCCUAGCUGGUCUGAGAGGAUGAUCAGCCACACUGGAACUGAGACACGGUCCAGACUCCUACGGGAGGCAGCAGUGGGGAAUAUUGGACAAUGGGCGAAAGCCUGAUGCAGCCAUGCCGCGUGUGUGAAGAAGGCCUUCGGGUUGUAAAGCACUUUCAGCGGGGAGGCGUUACUCGCAGAAGAAGCACCGGCUAACUCCGUGCCAGCCGCCGCGGUAAUAC
rnacentral:rRNA from 1 species